CAGAAGCAGGUCACUAGACCUUUCUUCCAAAGCACCUCUGGGUAAGUUCAAAUUGCCAACCUUUCAGUUAGUAGCUGAAUGUGUUUACCGUUUGUACCACCCAGGGACUCCCACACUUAUUUACACACAUUCAUCCAUACUCAUGCUGACACAUUUGCAAACACACACACACUCCCACACACACUCAUACACACUCACACACGAGUACAUGUAGUCUGUGUAAGAUUGGUGGAUCAGAAUCCUGGCUGUGACCUUGUACUAGAGUUUUGUAAGAUGUUCAUUAAUUGGGUGAACUGGGCAAGGGGUGCCCCGGACGUUCUCUGUACAAUUUCCUACACCUGCAUGUGAAUCUAGGGUGAUCUCGGGGUGCAAGUGUGUGACUUCCAGAAACCCCACGCUCACCCAGCUCUAAAGACCUGGGCACAGAAGCCACGGCUGCUGGGGAGCUGCGGCUCCAGCUGAGGCCUGAGGGCCCCUACCCAGCCUCCGCAUCUCGGGGGGGCCCUCUGGUCCCUGUCUAUGACUGAGCCCCCAUAACCCGCAGGAGGCCGUCGCCAUCUGUGACUCCGGUGGAAACGAGCUUUUAUUAAACCACAACCUCCGUGUUCUUUUGGGGAAAAGUCGGGGAAGCAGCCGCGGGGCCUAUCCCCGUGGGCCCACAAGGGCAGGAAGGACAGGGCGGCUGUAAGUGGCAGGGUCGCUGCGCCCCCGGGCGGAGAAACAGCUUAACAGAGUUGGCUGAAAUAACUACCUCGGAGAACCCCGCGCAAAGGCGCCGCCAGGGGCAGACACGCGCAAGAACGCGCGUUCUCGGGACGAGUACAGGAGCAGGCUUUGGGGGCGGCCUGGGACUUCUCCCGUAAGGCAGGUCAGACCCCGCGGCGCCAGGAGGAGAACGGUCCUCCAGAGCCGAAGCGGAGGGCCUGUCCUGGGCCGGGGGACCCGGGGCUGGCAGAGGGUGUCACCUCCCACCAAACAGUUGCUGGACCUUUCCGAGGGACAGCUCAGGGCUGACAAGAACAGGAUGAGGCGCCAAGCAGCACCCCGGAAGAAAGGUCUGGUGAUCUGCUUCUGUAAAGAUUACAGCCUUGAAGACCGUAUGGAGCGGAUCUACUCUGUAACACAUGGGGUCGUCAUGAGUUGGAACAAUGACAACCCUAAACCCAGCCCCAUCAAUAAUUAAUGGCCAUGAACUAAACCCAGUGCCUGGGGCAGGAUGGCACACCGCUGACCCUUGGGGAUUUGGGGGAAAGCGUUCUUCCUGUUGGGUUUGCUGAGUGGAAUAAAAAACUGUCUUUGCCACCAAGAUUUAUGUGAGAGAACCUGCCUGAAAGAAACGCUCACCUGACCAGGACUGAGCCUGAGCCUCACUCCCCCCUGGACUUCGCACAAAUCUGAGCUGAUAAAUCAACCUUUUGCUUAAACCUCUUGAGUCCAGUUUUCUGUAACUUACGCCCCAAAGACUCACCUCCUCCAGGAAGUCUGCCAGGAUGUCCCCUCCCAGCCUGACCCCACAGGGCUCCCCAGACCACCUGCAGCCCCUUCUCUACCCUUCCCUUGGGGCCCCAAGCCCAGGGGUGGAUCUCUCCUGGAGUUGACCCCUCACUCUGCACACCAUGGGCUUGGUCAAGGGCAGGAUCCCCCUCUAUGCCCAGAAAUUCAAAGCCUGACCCCUCCAUUUGAGUCAUUCCCCACUCCUGCCAGGGGUCCAGAGCAGGGGGUGAGGGAUGGAUGCGGCCAGCUCUCACCUGUCCUCCUCCUCAGG